rnacentral:rRNA from 1 species
AUAGCGUAUAUUAAAGUUGUUGCAGUUAAAAAGCUCGUAGUUGAAUUUUGGCCUUGGGUGGUUUGGUUUGGCCUUCACUGGUCAAUGCCUUUUCCGCCUAGGUCUUACCUUCUGGGUUAGCUAGUGUUGCUUCGGUGGCGCUAGUGAACCAGAACUUUUACUUUGAAAAAAUUGGAGUGUUUAAAGCAGGCUUUCAAGCUUGAACAUAUUAGCAUGGAAUAAUGAAAUAGGACUUUGGCCUUAUUUCGUUGGUUUCUAAAGCCAAAGUAAUGAUGAAUAGGGAUAGUUGGGGACAUUAGUAUUCAAUUGUCAGAGGUGAAAUUCUUGGAUUUAUUGAAGACUAACUUCUG